rnacentral:rRNA from 1 species
UACGGAGGGGGCUAGCGUUGUUCGGAAUUAUUGGGCGUAAAGGGCUCGUAGGCGGUUUGUCGCGUCAGAUGUGAAAGCCCGGGGCUUAACCCUGGGUCUGCUUCUGAUACGGGCAGACUAGAGGUAUGUAGGGGAGAACGGAAUUCCUGGUGUAGCGGUGAAAUGCGCAGAUAUCAGGAGGAACACCGGUGGCGAAGGCGGUUCUCUGGGCAUUACCUGACGCUGAGGAGCGAAAGUGUGGGGAGCGAACAGG